CCUGUGAGUUUCUCCACUCCUACUCACAAUGACUCAACAAACAAGCUGUCUCUCUGGAAGUUGUUUUGAUCCUUAUCUUUUAAUACCACAUGUUUUUUAUUUCUUUGACCUCUUUAGUCUCUCUUUUAUCUCCCCCCCCCCCCCACUUUAUUUACCAUGACUUAUAAAUGAGGAUCUCUGAUAGACUCACUCCUCAGAGCAGCGACUUCCUCGUCUAAAUUCUUUCUUUGGAGAGUGAAAUCCUUCUUUUGGCUUCAGCUAGUAUUCCUGAGUCAGCAGAGUAUAAUCUACAGACCAGCUGGAAAUCUUUGAAAGCAGAGGAGGUUGUUCCUCCCCUAUGGUUGGCGUGGCCAGCUGGAUCAACUUCCGCUGGAUAUUUGCUCCGAAGAUUCUGCAGCUUUGAGGUCUUGGGAGAUCUGACGUACAGCGGGCAGAAGGACUUGCUCUGUUUAUCAGCAGUCAUUGGACUUCAGCAUGAUUACUCCCCAGUUGCUGGCUUAUGUGGCAAUUUCAGUUUCCUGUGUCUUAAAAGUCAGCUCCCUGGAUACCUUCAUUGCAGCUGUUUAUGAACACGCCGUGAUAUUGCCUAAUACCACCCUAAUACCAGUGUCCCGUGAAGAGGCAUUGGCGUUAAUGAACCGAAAUCUGGAUCUUUUGGAGGGAGCGAUCACUUCAGCAGCAAAACAGGGUGCCCAUAUUAUUGUGACUCCAGAAGAUGGUAUCUAUGGCUGGAAUUUUAACAGAGAAACUAUCUAUCCAUACUUGGAGGAUAUCCCAGACCCUCGAGUGAACUGGAUCCCUUGUAAUUAUCCCAACAGGUUUGGCCACACCCCAGUGCAAGAAAGACUCAGCUGCCUGGCCAAGCACAACUCUAUCUACGUUGUGGCAAAUAUUGGGGACAAGAAGCCAUGCAAUGCCAGUGACCCUCAGUGUCCCCCUGAUGGCCGUUACCAGUACAACACUGAUGUGGUAUUUGAUUCUCAGGGAAAACUGGUGGCACGCUACCAUAAGUACAACCUUUUCAUGGGUGAGGAUCAAUUCAACGUACCAAAGAAGCCUGAGGUUGUGACUUUUGACACCAUCUUUGGAAGAUUUGGCAUUUUCACAUGCUUCGAUAUACUCUUCCAUGAUCCCGCUGUUACUCUGGUGAAAGAUUUCCAUGUGGAUACCAUAGUUUUCCCAACAGCGUGGAUGAAUGUCUUGCCACAUUUAUCAGCUAUUGAAUUCCACUCGGCUUGGGCAGUGGGCAUGGGGGUUAACUUCCUUGCAGCCAACAUACACCACCCCCACAAGAGGAUGACAGGAAGCGGCAUCUAUGCACCUGACUCUCCAAGAGCAUUUCAUUAUGACAUGAAGACAAAGGAGGGAAAACUCCUCAUCUCACGACUGAAUUCUUCUUCAUACGACCCUGGAGUGGUAAAUUGGGCUUCUUAUGCCAGUAGUAUAAAAGCAUUCUCCACAGGAAAUCAGGAAUUUAAAAGUACUGCGUUUUUUGAUGAAUUCACCUUCUUGGAGCUGACAAGAGUCACAGGAAAUUACACAGUUUGUCACAAAGAACUCUGCUGCCAUCUAAGCUACAAGAUGUCUGAGAAGAAACCAGAUGAAGUUUAUGCCCUAGGGGCAUUUGAUGGACUACAUAUUGUCGAAGGGAGUUAUUAUCUACAGAUUUGUACUCUGCUGAAGUGUAAAACACCAAACUUACGCACUUGUGGUGAUGCGGUUGAAUCUGCUUCCACCAGGUUUGAAAUGUUUUCCCUCAGUGGCACUUUUGGAACCCGAUAUGUCUUCCCUGAGGUGUUGCUGAGUGACAGUCAGCUUGCACCUGGGGAAUUUCAGGUCUCCUAUAGGCUGAAUUACGUCCCCCCUCAAAUUCACGUAUUGAAGUCUGAAUUUCAUACCUCAGAAUGUGAUUGCAUUUGAAGAUAAAGUCUUUUAAGAGGUAAAAUGAUGGCAUUAGGGUGGGCCCUAAUCCAAUAUGACUGGUAUUCUUAUAAGAAGAGAAGGUUAGGACAUAGACACUAUGGAAACUAUGUGAAACUAUGUGAAGACACAAAGGAAGAUGGCCAUCUACAAGCCAAGGAGAAAGGCCCUCAGAAGAAAUCAACCCUGUUGACAGUUUGAUUUGGAUUUCUGGCCUCCAGAAUCUUGAGAAAAUAAAUUCCUGUGGUUUAAAUUAAUCCGUGGUACUUUAUAAUGGCAGCCCUAAAAAACCAGUACAAAUUCUAAUCCCCUCUCCUCUCCAUUUCUACCAUAAAUUGAAGCUUAAACAGAAUGGUUACCUAGUUAAGUAGAUCCAGCUAGCUUGGUUCCAUGAGACUCAACUAGAUACUCUCAGAGAACCAUUGCUGAUGAACUGGUGCCGAAACCAUCAGACCAUCUGAAUGUUGGGAAAGCAGAAAGUCGCACGGAUGAAAUCAUGUACUUGAUCUGUCCUUAAAUAUUCUUUUUUAGUAACAAAAGAAUCUGUUGAUACAACUUAGUGAAACAAAGGACAUCGUUGAAGUCAAAAACAUCUCUCAACCGGUAGACUAUCCACAUAGCCCGAGAUCAGCCCCACACUAUACGAAGCAUGCCCUUCUGCAAAGGAGAGCAUGAUCCAUACCAGUAAUAUAUCAUUUUGAAAUAAACAUUUUUGUGGUAGAUACUUUUCAAAAAAAAAUACUAUCCCAUCCAAUAAUAUUUGAGUAAAAUUCACCUUAUACUUUUGGGUGAUAUUAACUACCUUUUAAAAAGGGCCCAUUAGAAAAUAACCCCCUAUGUAUUUAGGGACCACAAUCAUCAUGGCAAGCCUCAAUAUUUCAUACAAUUUUAAUUUAAAGAAGAAAAUUGUUGUAACGGUGUUAAGUUUAAAAUAUUAAAGCCUUCGAUAAACGCUAA